rnacentral:lncRNA from 1 species
CAUCAACUUUCUUUUCCUUUUGUAGAUCCACUUUGAAUCCAAAAGUUUAUUUCCUCGAGGAAGAUCAACCAACUCUCAAGUAUGGUUGCUCAAGAUUGAAUCUAUCUUACUAUUGACAAACUUUUCUCAAAGAGAAUGAGUCCACAAAGGACAUAACUUUUAGAAUAUAUGAGACUCAUUUUCAAGAAGAAAUGUUACAAAAUCAAACUCGUAGGAAGUAAUUUGUCCAUUGACAUUUACUACGCCUCCGAAUCUCUUUAUUAAGUACAUUCUCCUUUGGUUCUUUCCAAGGUCGUUUAGACCCUUCACUUGACUAUCCGACAGUUCGGACUUAUGAACAAUAAAUCGACAUGCUUUACUAUUUGUAGCAUAUCCAAUGAACAUACAAUCCAAAGUCUUAGGUCCUAUUUUGACCCGUUUGGGAAUAGUUUCCUCAUUUCCAUUUCUCAUAUGAAAUAGACUGUAUUGGAAAUUGUUUGAUCACUAUCUUUCAAAAGUUAUUGCUUGUAUAAACUUUAAGGGACGACAAACAAUUCUCUAUCAGGAUACAACAAAGACUGAACAAACACAACUUUCUNNNN